UAAGGAAUAUUGGUCAAUGGACGAAAGUCUGAACCAGCCAUGCCGCGUGAAGGAUGAAGGUCCUCUGGAUUGUAAACUUCUUUUAUAUGGGACGAAAAAAGGGAAUUCUUUCCCACUUGACGGUACCAUAGGAAUAAGCACCGGCUAACUCCGUGCCAGCAGCCGCGGUAAUACGGAGGGUGCAAGCGUUAUCCGGAUUCACUGGGUUUAAAGGGUGCGUAGGUGGGUAAGUAAGUCAGUGGUGAAAUCUCCGAGCUUAACUCGGAAACUGCCAUUGAUACUAUUUAUCUUGAAUAUUCUGGAGGUGAGCGGAAUAUGUCAUGUAGCGGUGAAAUGCUUAGAUAUGACAUAGAACACCAAUUGCGAAGGCAGCUCACUACGGAGUCAUUGACGCUGAGGCACGAAAGCGUGGGGAUCAAACA
rnacentral:rRNA from 1 species